AGCUCGACACCUACGGGGGGCAGCAGUCGGGAAUAUUGCGCAAUGGAGGAAACUCUGACGCAGUGACGCCGCGUAUAGGAAGAAGGUUUUCGGAUUGUAAACUAUUGUCGUUAGGGAAGAAAAAGGACAGUACCUAAGGAGGAAGCUCCGGCUAACUACGUGCCACAGCCGCGGUAAUCUGAGCGGGCUGGCAAGGC
rnacentral:rRNA from 1 species